rnacentral:pre_miRNA from 1 species
UUACUACUCCCUCCGUUCGGAAUUACUUGUCGUAGAAAUGGAUGUAUCUAGAUGUAUUUUAGUUCUAGGUACAUCCAUUUCCGAGACAAGUAAUUCCGAACGGAGGGAGUACAUA